rnacentral:rRNA from 1 species
GACGAAGGGGGCAAGCGUUGUUCGGAAUUACUGGGCGUAAAGGGCGCGUAGGCGGUUCUUUAAGUCAGGCGUGAAAGCCCUGGGCUCAACCUAGGAAGUGCAUUCGAAACUUCCGAGCUGGAGUGCUGGAGAGGAAGGCGGAAUUCUCGGUGUAGAGGUGAAAUUCGUAGAUAUCGAGAGGAACACCGGUGGCGAAGGCGGCCUUCUGGACAGCGACUGACGCUGAGACGCGAAAGCGUGGGGAGCAAACAGG